rnacentral:rRNA from 1 species
GUCCACGCCCUAAACGAUGUCGACUAGUUGUCGGGACUUAAUUGUCUUGGUAACGCAGCUAACGCGUGAAGUCGACCGCCUGGGGAGUACGGUCGCAAGAUUAAAACUCAAAGGAAUUGACGGGGACCCGCACAAGCGGUGGAUGAUGUGGAUUAAUUCGAUGCAACGCGAAAACCUUACCUACCCUUGACAUGGUACGAAUUUGGCAGAGAUGUCAAAGUGCUCGCAAGAGAACGUACGCACAGGUGCUGCAUGGCUGUCGU